AAAGGAAGUACUUAGGACCCAAAGGUUUAACCAGGCUGGUGACACUGAAAUUUACCUAUGCCCUGUGGUUCUGAAAAGUAGCUUUCCAGAAUUCCUCACCCUUUUUGUGUUCUGGGAAAGGGUUUACUGCAAAGAAUCCCCUUCCCAGGUGACACAUGAGACUCAAAAUUCACUCUUUCUCCUAACUCACAUAAGACUCACAAAUGUUUCUGUAUAACAAAGCCAGACCCUGAAAAACUGUCUUUGUUUCAUAAAUAAUUAGCUGAACUGUUUAUCCUCCCAAAACUAGCUUGACACAGAGAUAAACAUUUCUUGUUCAUCUUGUCAGAGGCAUUCGAACCAGAGCAACUUGAAUACUGGCUGGAUAAAAUAAGGCUGAGACCUACUGAAGCAGGACAUUUCACUGACCCCUUUGUGGAACUCGCAACAGGGGUGCCCCGUUUACUCAGCCCACAGCUCUCAACUCCUCAUAGGAGGGAGUGAGCAAGCCAACAAGGCGGGAACUGGAAUACACGAGUGCUAGAAUCAGCUGGCUACUUCAUAGCUGGCAAGAGCAAACUCCACUCACUCAGACCCGCUGCUUUCCACCCCUCGUCGGACAGGGCACACAGGUAACCAAAGAAUCUGACCCAUAGGGUUUCUAACUCACAAAAGGAGGGUCCAACUAUGUGGAAGCUGUCACCUUUGAUGGAAUUUAUCUGAUACCAUAUAACAUAGUGGAAGGAGAGUCAAAGAAUUUGUGGCUAUUUUAAGUCACACAUCAUUUCUUUUUCCAUGCCCCACCCCUGGAACCUUCUCAAGGUGUUUGACUUCAACCAGAGUUGAAGAUCCCCCAUCUGCAAUACUGCUGCACCCCCACCUCAAGCCCCAGCUGAUUGAACCCCAGGUGGAUUCCUGAUUCAGGCAAUCCACAGGCUGGGCUGAAGCAAUCAUGAUGUCUCUCUAAGGAAUAUUAAUUAAAAGCCACAGAGACCCCAGUCAGUUUUAAGGAGGUGUGCCGCCAGAAACCAGGGUCAGCACCAUACCAAACCAAAGUUAUGGAGGAGUAAAAACCAAAAGUCUUGCAGAAGCAGCAGAUUUGGAGACAAAAAAAGCAGAACCCACAUGCAGAAAGAAAAGAGAGGCACCACGUGACCCUUGAGACAAAGUGACAGACAUUCCAGUGCUGCCAGACAGAUUUCCAGUAUCUGUGAGGUCCUGCUGUGCACCAGAGAAGAGAGUUCUGGGAAAACCCCUGCUAUGGGUUGAACUGUAUUCCCCAAACAUUCAUAUGUUGGAGCCUUAACCUCCAGGACCUUAGAAUGGGACCUUACUUGGAAAUAGAGUCAUUGCAGAUGUAAUUAGUUAAGCUGAGUUCCUACUGGAGUAGGGUGGGCCCCUAAUCCAAUAUAUUGUUGUCCUUAUAAAAAGGGGAAGUCUGGAGAAUAGUUAUCCUUCCAAGAUAAACUAUUUGCCAAAUAUGUAACAGAGUAACCAGCCAUUUCCAUAUGGGAUUUCUAGUCAUUUCCCAGUUAAAAAUUAAGGAAUAGGUACACGCAGUAAGAGCACUCAGUGAAGAUGAGGGCAGAGAUCAAGAUGCCACAUCUACAAACCAAGGAACACCAAAGAUUGCCAGAAACUAUCAGAAGCUAGGGGAAAGGCAUGGAACAGUUACUUCUUCACAGCCGUCAGAAGGAACCAACCCUGUUGACACCCGGACCUCAGACGUGAAGCCUCCAGAACCGUGAGAUACAAAAUUCCUGUUGUUUAAGCCACUCAGUUUGUGGUACUUUGUUAUGGCAGCUCUGGAAAAUGAAUAUGACCCCUAUAACUGCAUUUCCAUGUGAGCUCAUUUAAGUGGGUGUCUGUUCCUUGAAGAAGAAAAAUGAUAUGAAUCAAAACAUCCCACCUAAACUGCCUUUGCUCUGAGCAGAGGGAACACCCUCUGGCAGAGCCAGGGUUCUUCUCAGAAAAUUAUUCCCAGUCUCCUCCAGGACUAAGAUAAAUGAAUGAGCAAAGUUUAAAAGUUCUCUUCUAAAGAACAUGGUCAAAAUAGUUUUAGCCUGUAAAAUUUGAAGGCAGAUAAAACCAGAAUUCAGCCUUGGCAGAAUAAACUCUCAAUAAAGUAACCUCAGAUCCUUAGCUCCGAACACCACUUUUUUUUUUCCUGUAUUCCUUCCAAGAUAAACUAUUAGCCAGAUAUGUAACAGAGUAACCAGUCAUUUUUAUAUGGGAUUGUUAUUCAUUGCCCAGUUGAAAAUUAAAGAAUCAGUACAAAAAAAAAAAAAACAAAACACUUUUGUUCUAGGAAAGAGAAUCAGAUAUCCUUUUUUAGCAAUAAUUAACUAGCAAGGUCGUGCUGUCACCACGGUUUUUAAAAUACCCUUUUGUCUUUCAUGGCAAGUGUAUGCAUCUAGACCAUCUGAAAGUGGCUCUAGAACAUGAAAAUAUAAAUGUAAAACAAGAAAGGGGCAGGAAAAGAAUGAGGAGCAGGCAAAACAUAACCACGUGUUGGCUAUUUCUAACUCCCUGGUCCAGGAGUACUCAUUAAUCACUCUAAUCCCACAGAAGUAUAAUGAUUCUGAAUAUCUACAUAUGCCACAAAUUAUCUAAUACUGUUCCUGAUUUACUAGGUGUGGAGUGGCCAUAUAUAAAACCUGACUGUUACUCACAUAAAAUAUUGGCCUGAAACUCUCAGACUUCGAAGCAAGUAGCAGAUUUGGAUGGAAUACACCACAAAUUAAUAAAGCCAUAAUCUAGAGAAGAUUUGGACUGUGCCAGUGUAGAAGUUCUGGUUCCAAGAGGAUGAAUGUUUUCACAGGGGAAUACAGUAAAUUAUGCCUCUUACCGGUCACUUCAGGAUCCAUGUGCCAAGUAAUCAGAACCAAGGAAAGGGUCACAGUGACAGGUGUAAUUGAUCCUGAACAUCACAAAGAAGUAACUGCUCAUGUCAGCAGGAGGAAGACAUUUGGUUCUGGACUUUGACUUGGGACUCCCCUUGCCAAAUGUUGAUGGUAAAUGGACAAAAGCAACAGCCACAUCCUAAGAAAAGCGUGAUGACCAGGAACUCAAAUCUCUAAGAAAGAAGAGUCUAGGCUGUCCACAAGUAAGCCACCAGACCAGCAGAAGUACUAGCUGAGAGUUAAAACAUCUAGAAUGGAUAACAGAGGAGGGAGAAGUCUUCUCAUUCACCGACUGAAGCCUGCCCUGCAUCCAGAGAGCCCACUUAAAGAGACUCUGCAGCUAAGUUUCAAUUCCCGGGAUGGCAAAAAGACUUACUAUAAAAUUAAUUUUCAAAGACAUAUUUAGAAUCCUCUAUUUUCCUAUUCCAGAUGUAAAUUUUAAGAGAUGGUUUGAAGAAAAGGAUCCUUAAUAACGCAGUGAAAUGAAAGGAAGUUACUGCCAACAAGAGACUGUAGUUCAUGUAAAAUAUGUCCCACAUGGGUGUCCAGGGGAAAAGCUAUAGCAGUACAAGCAGUUAUUCUCCUCCUCUGAAAAGUUAUAAAAACAAAGCCAAACAAAAUAACAACAGCAAAACAGUCCACAAACAAAUCAAUGUCUCAGCACUGUCUUCUUUAUUAAAACUUCUGGGAUAUUCCUGAAAUUCUGAAUAUACUGUCUUGUGGUUAUAAAAUGGCAUCCUGGAUUUUAUGGGUUUAUAGCCUAAAUGCAAAAGAUAGAAACAAUAAUGUAUUAUGGUACAGAGUCUCCUACAGUUUUCAAGUAUCAUGUACAUCCUCCGACCUUUAUCUGACUAAAGCAACAGCUCUUUGACAAGAGAAGAUGUGACUAUCCCACAUUCUAAUGUCUUGGAGGAUGUGAGGGCUAGCCCAUCUUUGAAAAGUUAUUUUUAUAGUAACUAGAAGAUGCAGAAACCUCCAAUAAGGCUACAAGGUUGUCUCUCAUCCACUGCAUCCUCAAGUGCUUUAUCACUUGUCAUUUUGAAAAUGAUCAUUAAUCACAGCACUUUGCACACAAGCCAACUUGUAACCUAUGGGCUUUUUACAAACAUAACAAGCUACAUCCAUAAAAUGCAGCUGUUGUGAAGAGAAAUGAGACUGUUCAUCAUAGUAUGAGUUAGCAGUCUAAAACAGGAAGAUAAAGAUGACUAUUACACCCAGUUGAAAAUGCUGGCGUUGUUUUCUUCUUCCUAAACUCUAUUCGAUAUCUCAAGUGUAAGUAUCAGGUAUACAGCAAAUAAACAUACAGGGGCCAAUAUUAAAAAUCAUGAAGAGAUGGAUAUCAAAAAUACAACUGGUAUAUAUAAAUUAGCAUGUAUAUUAUACCAAAAGGCUAAGUUUGUACCUAUGCCCAUACAAACCAACCUAAUCAGUGCUUUUUUAAUUUUAGUUGUCAGUUACAGAAAACAACUCAUUGCAACAAAUAUUGGUUGGAUCCUUCUGGACAAACACUCAUCUCACCUCACACCAACCUGCAAGUUGGACUUAGUACUUUGAAAUAUCACAGACAUCCAAACAUAGAUCACAUAGAUCCAGCUAUUCAAUGUAUGAUCCACACACAAAAAGAUGUGUUAUUGAAGUUUUUGUGAGAAGACUGCAAAGAGGAUUUAUAUUUCUUACAGUGUAGCUAAACUUCCAUUGUCUUUCAAAAUAUUCUCUCUCGAUACAGUCUCUCUUUCUCUCUCCAAGUCCAGCUCUUCCAGUCCCUCCAGUUAAGCUCUGGGACUUAGACCCGAGCUUCCUUUCUUACACGAAAGGAAUUGAGAUGUGUAGCUCCCCAGCCUGUAUGCUUCACCGAUGGGACUAGGUAGCCACCUCCUUGGAAGGCAGAGAAAACUGAAGGAUCAAGUAUUUUAUUGC
rnacentral:lncRNA from 1 species